ensembl:lncRNA
AUGAUUUUCUUUUUUUUUUAUUGCAUUUUAGGUUUGGGGAUACAUGUGAAGAACAUGCAAGAUUGUUGCAUAGUUUCAGGAGAAACGGAUAAAUUCCUGGACACUUGCAUCCUCCCAAGCCUAAACCAGGAAGAAGUCGAAACCCUAAAUAGACCAAUAACAAGGUCUGAAGUUGAGGCAGCAAUUAAGAGCCUACCACACACAAAAAAGCCCAGGUCCAGAUGGAUUCAUGGCCGAAUUCUACCAGAUGUACAAAGAGGAGCUGGUACCAUUCCUUAUGAAACUGUUCUAAACAAUCCACAAAGAGGGAAUCCUUCCCAAAUCAUUUUAUGAGACCAACAUCAUCCUGAUACCAAAACCUGGCAGAGAUUCAGCAAGAAAAGAAAACUUCAGGCCAAUAUCCAUGACGAACACAGAUGCAAAAAUCUUCAAUAAAAUACUGGCAAAUCAAUUGCAACAGCACAUCAAAUAGCUUAUCCACUAUGAUCAAGUAGGCUUCAUCCCGGGGAUGCAAGGCUGGUUCAACAUACGCAAGUCUAUAAACGUAAUUCACCACAUAAACAGAACCAAAGACAAAAACCAUAUGAUGAUCUCCAUUGAUGCAGAGAAGGCCUUUGACAAAUUCAACAGCCCUUUAUGCUAAAAACCCUCAAUAAACUCGGUAUUGAUGGAACGUAUCUCAAAAUAAUAAAAGGUAUUUAUGACAAACCCACAGCCAAUAUCAUACUGAAUGGGCAAAAACUGAAAGCAUUCCCUUUGAAAUCUGGCACUAGACAAGGAUGCCCUCUCUCACCACUCCUAUUCAAUAUAGUACUGGAAGUUCUAGCCAGAGCAAUCAGGCAAGAAAAACAAAGGGUAUUCAAUUAGGAAAGGAGGAAGCCAAAUUGUCUCUAUUUACAGACGAUUUUCUUUCUUUCAGGUAUAGACAACAUUCUGAACUACUCACAAAGCACUCUAGGCAGAGUCCUGCUCUUCGUGAUUCACAUUCAUUUGUAACACAGAGGGCCUCGCUGAGGCUCUGCAGGCCGCACUAAACCCCUGCUACUGGUGAAAAUUCCUUUUCCAUGAUGCGGAUGGUUACCACUUAAGCCCUCAAAUGUCGUUCUUCUCCGUAGGGUCCUAGUGACCCUUGCAGCCUCACCUCCUCUCUUCUGCCUUCCCUGAUUCUGGUCGCUUCUCACAGGCAGGAGUGACACCUCACGCCAGGGCCCUCUCUGCUCUUGUCUUUGGUGUGUGGCCACAGGGCUACUAUCUAGCUGCCACAGCCCCCCUGCUGAGCGAGAGGGCAGUCGGUUCCCCCCAAGUCCUGUUCACACUGCAAGAAUCUCCCAGAAUAUCUCAGCCUUGGAGCCAUGGCCACCCCUCCUUGUGUGAGGGCUCCCUUCAAGUGAUUCCCUCGGCAGAACUGAGCCAGAGCGAUGGGCAGAGGAGGCAGCCAGGCGGAGGGGCCCGGAGUCCAGUACCCCGACAUCAGAGCCGAAUCCGGGCCGGUGCAUCUCCGCACUGCCUUGCCCCUCCCAUGGUGGCUGCAGUAGUUUAGGUUGAAUUAAUGAUUCUCAUGUAAUCGUGUUGUGUGAAGAGAAUAACUGUCCAUGUAGCCAUGGAAUAAGUUUAUACUGCCCAUCUGUAAAUAGGACAGACAAGCUCUGCCAACGUUCACAGCAUCUUUCUGAGCUGCAGUCGUCAAAGCAUUCCUCUCUCUAUCAAUCACAGAGCGCUCUAGUUAGGAAAGCAGCGUCACACAAUCGCUCCAUAAACACUCAUUAGAGCACCAACUAUUGCAGGCACUGUGUCCGGUGCUAAGGAUAGAGAACAAAUAAGGCCCAGUCUCUGUCCCAAUGGAAAGAACAGCAAACACAGGCACUGACUGUACUGUGCCCAGUGCCUGAGAGUUGACCACAUCUGACCCACAACGGGGAAACCAAGGCACACAUGCACUAGGUGGUGAGGUGUGGCGUGAGCCACCUGUGCCCUUCAGUACUAUGCAUUGUUGCCUCCAGGCCCCUAUGAAGUUUGAGGCAUUUGAUCAUACUUAAUAAAGCAAAAACCAGCAAAAUACAAAGCUCAGCUCAGAAAUGCAGGAGUCUGUGUUUCUGCCAAGGUGAACCACUGACCACUGGCAGUCCGUGUGUCUUGUAUGUUGUCAGCCUCCAAGGCUGGCUCUUCCCCAGGUC